rnacentral:rRNA from 1 species
UACGAAGGGGGCUAGCGUUGCUCGGAAUCACUGGGCGUAAAGGGUGCGUAGGCGGGUCUUUAAGUCAGGGGUGAAAUCCUGGAGCUCAACUCCAGAACUGCCUUUGAUACUGAAGAUCUUGAGUUCGGGAGAGGUGAGUGGAACUGCGAGUGUAGAGGUGAAAUUCGUAGAUAUUGGGAAGAACACCGGUGGCGAAGGCGGCGACCUGGCCUCGAUCUGACGCUGAGGCGCGACAGCGUGGGGAGCAAACAGG